rnacentral:sRNA from 1 species
AGAGUUAGAAAUAAGAAGACGGGAGGAUGAGUACAGAUUUACAAAAUUGCUUCAGAUUGCUGGAAUUAACCCACAUGGUAAUGCUUUAGGAGCAUCAAUGCAGCAACAGGUAAAUCAACAAAUACCUCAGGAAAAACGAGGAGGUGAAGUAUUGGAUUCUUCUCAUGAUGACAUAAAACUUGAAAAAAGUAAUAUUUUGCUGCUUGGACCAACUGGGUCAGGUAAAUAACUUGCUGAGAAAAUUUACUACUCAUUUUAAAAAUCAGAAUAUAAAUGAUUCUAUAACCUGUAUCUUGCGAUUGAAGUAUUACGGCUCUUGAGAAGAAAAUCUAAGGCCAGUCAUCUAGAUACACUAUCAGUAUUCCUGCAUAGAAUACAAACUGAAUUUGAGGCAUUGGUGUUGCCCUUCAGGCCAAUCCCUAACAUCUUCACAGGAAUAAUAAAAUAAAAAACAGCUAUAUCUAAAUAAUAAUAGAUCGGAUGUAGUGGCUCACACCUGUAAUCCCAGCAUUUUGGGAGACAAAGGUGGGAGGAUCACUUGAGGCCAAGAGUUUGAGACCAGCCUAGGCAACAGAGCAAGACUCUAUCUCUAUAAAAAAUAAAGU